rnacentral:misc_RNA from 1 species
AACUUUUAACAAUGGAUCACUUGGUUCCGGCAUCGAUGAAGAACGCAGCGAAAUGCGAUACGUAAUGUGAAUUGCAGAAUUCAGUGAAUCAUCGAGUCUUUGAACGCACAUUGCGCCCUCUGGUAUUCCGGAGGGCAUGCCUGUCCGAGCGUCAUUGCUGCCCUCAAGCACGGCUUGUGUGUUGGGCUCCGUCCCCCGAUCCCGGGGGGACGGGCCCGAAAGGCAGCGGCGGCACCGCGUCCGGUCCUCGAGCGUAUGGGGCUUUGUCACCCGCUCUGUAGGCCCGGCCGGCGCCUGCCGAUCAACCAAAUUUUUAUCCAGGUUGACCUCGGAUCAGGUAGGGAUACCCGCUGAACUUAAGCAUAUCAAUAAGCGGAGGCU